rnacentral:rRNA from 1 species
AUACGUAGGGGGCAAGCGUUGUCCGGAAUUACUGGGCGUAAAGAGCUCGUAGGCGGCUCAGCAAGUCGGUCGUGAAAGCCCGAGGCUCAACCUCGGAACUGCGGUCGAUACUGCUGUGGCUAGAGUCCGGUAGAGGAGAGUGGAAUUCCCGGUGUAGCGGUGGAAUGCGCAGAUAUCGGGAGGAACACCAGUGGCGAAGGCGGCUCUCUGGGCCGGUACUGACGCUGAGGAGCGAAAGCGUGGGGAGCAAACAGAAUUAGAUACCCUAGUAGUCC